rnacentral:lncRNA from 1 species
CUGGAAAUGCUUGUUGAGGCCGACGUGUCAGGCAGCCCAUCAGUGCAGGAUGGAGCCUCGGUUGCAGAGAACUGCAGGGAGGUGGCGUGGAAGCUCAUUGGCUGUGAGAACUGCUCCGCUGCGACAGUGCUGCUGGAGGUGGCGGUGAACAGAUUUCUGAUGCCAAGCUGAUCAUCGUCUCAGCACCAGCAAAGACAUGCUAUUCCCGUCCCUGACGAGCAUUUCCUUCUUGAGAAAGUGAUUUUGAGGGGCUGCAGAUGUACUUGGAGGAAGGUUUGGGCCGGGACAGAUGACGUGCCCACGUGGGAGCUGGACGGCCCCUCUCUGGGUAGCUCCCUGGGAACUCCCAUGUCCGCCUCCCACUGCCUCCUGAUCCAAGGUGGAUGCACUUCAUUCGAGGCCUGGUCUUUCAUCCUUCCCUCUCCUCUUCGGGGACCACUUUGUCUAGUGCUAGACUCAUCGUGCUCCC